AUUGAACGCUGGCGGCAUGCUUUACACAUGCAAGUCGAACGGUAACAGGCCGCAAGGUGCUGACGAGUGGCGAACGGGUGAGUAAUGCAUCGGAACGUGCCCAGUCGUGGGGGAUAACUACUCGAAAGAGUAGCUAAUACCGCAUACGAUCUAUGGAUGAAAGCGGGGGACCGUAAGGCCUCGCGCGAUUGGAGCGGCCGAUGUCAGAUUAGGUAGUUGGUGGGGUAAAGGCUCACCAAGCCAACGAUCUGUAGCUGGUCUGAGAGGACAACCAGCCACACUGGGACUGAGACACGGCCCAGACUCCUACGGGAGGCAGCAGUGGGGAAUUUUGGACAAUGAGCGCAAGCCUGAUCCAGCAAUGCCGCGUGCAGGAAGAAGGCCUUCGGGUUGUAAACUGCUUUUGUACGGAACGAAACGGCUCUGGUUAAUACCCGGGGCUAAUGACGGUACCGUAAGAAUAAGCACCGGCUAACUACGUG
rnacentral:rRNA from 1 species